GAUGAACGCUGGCGGCGUGCCUAAUACAUGCAAGUCGAGCGAACAGACGAGGAGCUUGCUCCUCUGACGUUAGCGGCGGACGGGUGAGUAACACGUGGAUAACCUACCUAUAAGACUGGGAUAACUUCGGGAAACCGGAGCUAAUACCGGAUAAUAUAUUGAACCGCAUGGUUCAAUAGUGAAAGACGGUUUUGCUGUCACUUAUAGAUGGAUCCGCGCCGCAUUAGCUAGUUGGUAAGGUAACGGCUUACCAAGGCGACGAUGCGUAGCCGACCUGAGAGGGUGAUCGGCCACACUGAAACUGAGACACGGUCCAGACUCCUACGGGAGGCAGCAGUAGGGAAUCUUCCGCAAUGGGCGAAAGCCUGACGGAGCAACGCCGCGUGAGUGAUGAAGGUCUUCGGAUCGUAAAACUCUGUUAUUAGGGAAGAACAAAUGUGUAAGUAACUAUGCACGUCUUGACGGUACCUAAUCAGAAAGCCACGGCUAACUACGU
rnacentral:rRNA from 1 species